rnacentral:rRNA from 1 species
UGGGGAAUUUUGGACAAUGGGCGAAAGCCUGAUCCAGCAAUGCCGCGUGUGUGAAGAAGGCCUUCGGGUUGUAAAGCACUUUUGUCCGGAAAGAAAUCCUUGGCUCUAGUACAGUCGGGGGAUGACGGUACCGGAAGAAUAAGCACCGGCUAACUACGUGCCAGCAGCCGCGGUAAUACGUAGGGUGCAAGCGUUAAUCGGAAUUACUGGGCGUAAAGCGUGCGCAGGCGGUUUGCUAAGACCGAUGUGAAAUCCCCGGGCUCAACCUGGGAACUGCAUUGGUGACUGGCAGGCUAGAGUAUGGCAGAGGGGGUAGAAUUCCACGUGUAGCAGUGAAAUGCGUAGAGAUGUGGAGGAAUACCGAUGGCGAAGGCAGCCCCCUGGGCCAAUACUGACGCUCAUGCACGAAAGCGUGGGGAGCAAACAGGAUUAGAUACCCUGGUAGUCCACGCCCUAAACGAUGUCAACUAGUUGUUGGGGACUUCAUUUCCUUAGUAACGUAGCUAACGCGUGAAGUUGACCGCCUGGGGAGUACGGUCGCAAGAUUAAAACUCAAAGGAAUUGACGGGGU